GAAACCUCCUCAAUGAGAUUAAGGCUCCAUUUCCUCCCUGCCAGCGGGCAGAUCACAGCCAGACUGACUGUGAAUACUGUGGGUAUCCGUGCCUGAAAGGAAAGCCUUGAUGAAUAAGAAAUGCAACUAGAGGAGGAGGGGGUGAGAGAACCCCAUUUUAAAAAACACACAUACACAACUUUUUCUUCACUGGCAGGUGCCCCAGGUAAUAAAGAAGGUGGAAUUCUGCUCACUGGCUCUUUUCUCUUGCCCAGUGUGUUCCUUUCUGACUGAUGGAGUCCUUGGUGAUCUAUCUCAGCAAGGUCAAGAGGGUAUAAUUAGCAGAGGGAUUAAAAAGAUGCUCUGCUUCAUGCGCCCACUCUUCCUUGCGCGGUCUUCUUCCGAAUGCAUCUCACAUCUCCUGGCUCCCGGCUGGCUGAUGGGCGUGCGCUGUUCCUGCCGACACACACAUGCUUCUGCGCUUUCCCUGAGAGUGGAGCAUUAGCAACUGCAGCUUUAAAAAAGAAAGGAAAAGCAUGCCCGUUUCCCCCAGCUGGUGAACCUUCUGCAGCCACUGCCUGACUUUGUGGGGAGGAAGACAGCUCUGGAGGCAAGUUUCAGAAGGACUUGGCUGCACUUUGGAGUGUCCACUGUGAAUCCACUAGCGCUGGGCACCCUUCCAGAAGUCCUGGCAUUCAAGGUGCAACGAGGCUGUGCAUCAGGGUAAAAUGCUGGCUGUCUCUGAAAGUGGAAGAGUUCACAACUCAAGGCUUCAGUGAAUACUGUGCGUGUUGACCCUUAAAAGACAGCCUGGAUGGAUACCCUUUAUUUCUUCGCAAAACAAUUUUCUCACUCCUUCACGGACAUUGAAAGAAGGCUCUAAUUAAGGAUUGAUGGACACUGCUUAUGAAUCAGGAAGUAUUUAAACACACUUGUAAGUACUAGAUGGAGAUCCUACCCCACUGAACAGCAACUUCCAUCAAGUACUUCAUGAGCA